UGGCUCCUGCUGGGAACUUGCUGUGAACGUGGACCCCCUCUUCUUGUGUUCUCUGGCCAGUGAAGGGAGGUCCUUGCGUAUCUUCAAUGUGGUUGAUGUCUGGCAUGGAUGUGUGAAGCUGACGCUCCUCUACACAGGUGUGUAGUGUAGGUGAAUGCAUGGAUGUGUGAAGCUGACGCUCCUCUACACAGGUGUGCAGUGUAGGUGAAUGCAUGGAUGUGUGAAGCUGACGCUCCUCUACACAGGUGUGUAGUGUAGGUGAAUGCAUGGAUGUGUGAAGCUGACGCUCCUCUACACAGGUGUGUAGUGUAGGUGAAUGCAUGGAUGUGUGAAGCUGACGCUCCUCUACACAGGUGUGCAGUGUAGGUGAAUGCAUGGAUGUGUGAAGCUGACGCUCCUCUACACAGGUGUGUAGUGUAGGUGAAUGCAUGGAUGUGUGAAGCUGACGCUCCUCUACACAGGUGUGUAGUGUAGGUGAAUGCAUGGAUGUGUGAAGCUGACGCUCCUCUACACAGGUGUGCAGUGUAGGUGAAUGCAUGGAUGUGUGAAGCUGACGCUCCUCUACACAGGUGUGUAGUGUAGGUGAAUGCAUGGAUGUGUGAAGCUGACGCUCCUCUACACAGGUGUGCAGUGUAGGUGAAUGCAUGGAUGUGUGAAGCUGACGCUCCUCUACACAGGUGUGCAGUGUAGGUGAAUGCAUGGAUGUGUGAAGCUGACGCUCCUCUACAUAGGUGUGCAGUGUAGGUGAAUGCAUGGGGCUCUUCCACUGUUGUUCCUUUAUUUGUUUGGUUUAUUGUACUUCAGUGACUUACAGAA